GAUGAACGCUGGCGGCGUGCCUAAUACAUGCAAGUCGAACGCUGGAACUCUAGCUUGCUAGAUUGAAGGAGUGGCGAACGGGUGAGUAAUACAUAAGCAACCUACCCACGAAGACUGGGAUAAUCUCUGGAGACGGGGACUAAUACCGGAUAGGUAAUCGGAAGGCAUCUUCUGAUUAUUAAAGGUUAAAAACACUGGUGGAUGGGCUUAUGGCGCAUUAGUUAGUUGGUGAGGUAACGGCCCACCAAGACGAUGAUGCGUAGCCGGCCUGAGAGGGUGAACGGCCACAUUGGGACUGAGACACGGCCCAGACUCCUACGGGAGGCAGCAGUAGGGAAUUUUCGGCAAUGGGGGAAACCCUGACCGAGCAACGCCGCGUGAGUGAUGACGGCCUUCGGGGUGUAAAGCUAUGUUGUAAGGGAAGAACGGUAGAUAGAGAAUAUCUAAAUGACGGUACCUUACCAGAAAGCCACGGCUAACUACGUG
rnacentral:rRNA from 1 species